GCCGCUGGACCGCUCGCCGCCGCCGCGUGUCUGCCCCGCGCCGCUCGCCGGCCAGCUCGCCUCUCCGCUCCGCCUCAGCCCGCGUCUCCAGCAGAUCUGAGAGCGCCAGCAGCAGCGAAGAUCGACCAGCAAGUCGCCGGAGCUAGGACCGCCACCGCCACUCGCCGUCUCGCGCUCCGCCGCUGCCCACGCUCGUUCGCGCUUGGCCGAUGCCCGGCCGUCUCUGUCAGCCUCUGUCCGUGAGUUCCAAGAGCUGCCGGAGCUCGUCCCCGCUGCCGUGAGGC
rnacentral:lncRNA from 1 species